rnacentral:lncRNA from 1 species
UGGUUGCUGGAUAUGUUCGUCCUCCUCAGUUGGGCUUGCCAAAUGUUGACAAGGCAAAUAUUUGUUGCAAUCCUCCUAGUCCACAUUUGGUGUGCGUCUUCCCUCCAGCUUUGAGUUCUUCGUUCUGCAUACCGGCCUGAAGAUUUUGGUCAUCAUUUUGACCUUUACAAUUGGAUUGAUCGUCCUUUCUCGUUUAAAAAUUCUGCAUAUCGGCCUGAAGAUUUUGGUCAUCAUUUUGACCUUUACAAUUGGAUUGAUCGUUCUUUCUCAUUUAAAAAGACAUGAGCAUCAAGUGGACGAUUUAACUUGAAAAUGUCAAGUCUGCCAGUGUUUGUACAAUAUGUAUUUUUUUUCCAAGUUGCAACAAUAGAGAAUGUGACCUUUUGCACGUUAAAGGUGUAGGUAGACUUACGCUGUAUCAUAUACUCAUGUACAGAGAACAUUUUUGCUUGUACAAUAAAGGAGAUUCUGAGAUGAUUUCCUUGUACACGGAACAGUUGUAGGAGAUAGAUGAAAUUAUGAGGUAAGGGGAUUGGUUUUCUACAAUACAAUGUGCAUGCUCUGACAAACUGCUCUUGUUCUUAUGAAAAUGUUCGAUGUGAUAUAUUAAUAUGCGCUGUAUGCCUUGCACUUUUGGUUGCUGUCGGAAAUGGACGUUUACCAGACAUCGUUUGAGCUUGUAUGGAUCGUAAACAUUGGAUUUAAGUUAUAUGCAUUAACGGUGAUGAAUGUUAUUUAACCUGUUAUAAAGAUUAUCAACCAACGCUAGGAGUCUUAAAUGGGAUUUACCUGCAAUACUAGAUUACCUUUUGAUCUGACCAUUAGCGCACGUAACUGGAAACAUAUAUCAUUUAUUAAGGCGAUCC